rnacentral:rRNA from 1 species
GGUAAACGAAACGAAGUAGUCGUAAACUAACUACGAUAACAACAGAUGAUGCCUAUCAACUGUUUAAAAGAUGGUUCUGCUAUCACUCUUGGAUGGACCUGCGGUGCAUUAGCUAGUUGGUAGGGUAACGGCCUACCAAGGCGAUGAUGCAUAGCCGAGUUGAGAGACUGAUCGGCCACAUUGGGACUGAGACACGGCCCAAACUCCUACGGGAGGCAGCAGCU